AGUAGUUGAUCAGUGGCACGAGGACGACGCUGGCGGCGUGCUUAACACAUGCAAGUCGAGCGAGACCCCUCCUCGGGAGGGUGUCUAGCGGCGAACGGGUGAGGUAACACGUGGGCAACCUGCCCUCAGCUCUGGGAUAACUCCAAGAAAUUGGGGCUAAUACCGGAUAUGACCGCUGACCGCAUGGGUCUGGUGGUGGAAAGAUUUAUCGGCUGGGGAUGGGGCCCGCGGCCUAUCAGCUUGUUGGUGGGGUAGUGGCCUACCAAGGCGACGACGGGUAGCCGGCCUGAGAGGGUGACCGGCCACACUGGGACUGAGACACGGCCCAGACUCCUACGGGAGGCAGCAGGGGGGAAUAUUGCGCAAUGGGCGGAAGCCUGACGCAAGCGACGCCGCGUGGGGGAUGACGGCCUUCGGGUUGUAAACCUCUUUCAGCAGGGACGAAGCGAAAGUGACGGUACCUGCAGAAGAAGCACCGGCCAACUACGUGCCAGCAGCGGC
rnacentral:rRNA from 1 species